rnacentral:lncRNA from 1 species
AGAUUUGAUUGGAUUUUCUAUGCAGAAAAGAUUUAAUUAGAUAUGUUUUGAAGGAAUAUUUGGUUAUGUUUUAUUUAAUUCAAGAUUGUGCUGAAAUUGAUCUCAUGUGAAUUUUGGAGGAUCAUGGGUAUUCAAGAUGAAAACCUUACAAGGCUUUGUAGUUGUACUUUUGUUCUAUAUAAAGAGGAAAUCUCCUUUGUGAAGACUCCGAACUUUAUAGAAAUAUCUACUCUAUAGGAGAUUUUUUAGUUGAGUCUUUUAUUCGUUGUAAUACUCUAUUUUUGAGUUUCUUUCCUAUAUUAAAGAAUAGACUAUUUGACUUGCAAUUUUUUGUCAUCAUUCUUAUGCUUUUGUAACUAUCCAAGCACUUGGAAGAAUGUUUAACUGGAAGUGAAAGGUCUCUCAAAUUUAGGGGGAGCCCUGAUAGGAUCUUC